rnacentral:rRNA from 1 species
UACACAUGCAGUCGAACGAGAAAGUGGAAGCAUCCAUGAGUAAGUGGCGACGGGUGAGUACACGUGACUAACUACCUUUUAGUGGGGGAUACAUCGGGAAACCGAUGCUAAUACCGCAUAACAUCGCAAGAUCAAAGCAGCAAUGCGCUGGAAGAGGGGGUCGCGGCUGAUUAGCUAGUUGGCGGGGUAUGGCCCACCAAGGCGAAGAUCGGUAUCCGGCCUGAGAGGGCGCACGGACACACUGAACUGAAACACGGUCCAGACUCCUACGGGAGGCAGCAGUGGGGAAUUUUGCGCAAUGGGGGAAACCCUGACGCAGCAACGCCGCGUGGAGGAUGAAGCCCCUUGGGGGCCGUAAACUCCCUUUCGACCAAGACGAUAUGACGGUACUGGUUGGAAGAAGGCACCGGGUAACUCUGUGCCAGCAGCCGCGGUAAUUACAGAAGGGUGCGAGCGUUGUUCGGAAAUUAUUGGGCGUAAAAGGGC